CGUCGGAAGAGAGCAAAACGAUCUCUAUUAGAAGCAAGCAGGGCGACACUUGGGACCCAAGUGCAGCUACCACGUGGGAAGUCUGAAAGCCUCCAGGGCUUGGCAUGGAAGCAUGAAAACUUGUGGACUCAUGGUGCCGGAACUUAAAUCUCUUCAUGUCUGGCUCUAUGGAUAUGGAAUACAUGGCAUGCUUGUUGUGUGUGUGAUGAACACGGGGCAUUCAUCACUGUGAUUGAUUGACACAGACGGACUGAAGCUCUAACAGAAUUGGUAACCCUCUUUGCAAGGAUUGCUUAGAAAGACUUGGUUGUUCACCUUUAUGUGUGCUUUGGUCACACAAACCACCUAUUUUUUUUUUAGAUUCAGUACCAAAUAAUAGGGAACUUAUCAAGUAAAAGGUGCUACUUUUAAUUUACUGAGAUUUGCUGUGAUCUAAA